UAAUCACAAGUUUUCAUAGUAACAACAGAGUUGUCAGCUACCUCACCAUCAGAAUUGAAAGAACUUGUUGUACAACAUGAAUAAAAACCCAAAAUUGUUCCAAAACUCAUAAUGAUCUAACAAAAUGAGCUAAUUGAACAUCUAUAUAUAUUAUGAUAUAAUUUGAUGCAACUGCAUCUUUGUGUAUGUCCAACUUGUUAUCUCUCUCUUGUUACGUACAAAAUCUAGCAUGCACAACCUCCACCUUGCUGCUCUGCGUUAGAUGAACUUGUGGUAGGCUUCAAAUUCACAUCCACCAUAUCUUCUUGCUUCGUGGACGAAAGGGCUUCCAUUCCAGGUAAAGCAGCAGCAAUCUUUCGGAACAGAGGCUUGAUAUUGAAUCCUGCUUUAGCACUAGUUUCUAUAAACAUUACAUUAAACUCGCGAGCCUUGGAUUCACCUUCUUCGAUGGAUACUUGCCUUUUC
rnacentral:misc_RNA from 1 species